UACGAAGGGGGCUAGCGUUGCUCGGAAUCACUGGGCGUAAAGCGCACGUAGGCGGGUCCUUAAGUCAGGGGUGAAAUCCUGGAGCUCAACUCCAGAACUGCCCUUGAUACUGAGGAUCUCGAGUUCGGGAGAGGUGAGUGGAACUGCGAGUGUAGAGGUGAAAUUCGUAGAUAUUCGCAAGAACACCAGUGGCGAAGGCGGCUCACUG
rnacentral:rRNA from 1 species